AGAGUUUGAUCCUGGCUCAGAACGAACGCUGGCGGCGCGCCUAAUACAUGCAAGUCGAACGAGAAUGUGUAGCAAUACACAUGUACAGUGGCGAACGGGUGAGGAAUACAUGGGUAACCUACCCUCGAGUGGGGAAUAACUAGCCGAAAGGUUAGCUAAUACCGCGUACGCUUCCCGGACUGCGGUCCGGGAAGGAAAGCGAUACCGUGGGUAUCGCGCUCUUGGAUGGGCUCAUGCCCUAUCAGCUUGUUGGUGAGGUAACGGCUCACCAAGGCUUCGACGGGUAGCUGAUCUGAGAGGAUGAUCAGCCACACUGGCACUGCGACACGGGCCAGACUCCUACGGGAGGUAGCAGUAAGGAAUAUUGCGCAAUGGGCGAAAGCCUGACGCAGCGACGCCGCGUGGGGGAUGAAGGGCUUCGGCUCGUUAACCCCUGUCAGUUGCGAACAAGAUUCAUUCAAUAACACUGGGUGGAUUGAUAGUAGUGACAGAGGAAGGGACGGCUAACUCUGUGCCAGCCGCCGCGGUAAUAC
rnacentral:rRNA from 1 species